CAUGGAGUUAUUGAGCCGCAUCCCGCAUGUUCAAUUGCUACAGCCUACGGAACGCAGAAUCCACCAGAAUCUGAUGCUAUACAGGCUCGCAGUUAUUGAAAAAGUUGGGAGCCGGAUUCGCGAAAAAGCAGCCGCCGGAGAGGCAGUUGAGGCGGCAGGCGGUGAUGCCGACGAAGAACUGCUCCGUGGUGAUCUCCGGCGGGUAGGUGAGGAACUGCGUGUUGUCGAGCUCGAGCAUGGUGGAGUUGCCGGGGCAGCUGGCGAGCUCGACCUUGCGCGUGCAGCCGACGCGCAGCUGGAAGUUGAGCGACGGGCACCCGCAGACCGGCG
rnacentral:misc_RNA from 1 species